rnacentral:lncRNA from 1 species
AUGUUUAAGAACUAUAUAAUAAAUUCUCUCUUUAUCGUACACUAGCAUAGUUCAAAGAAGAUGUCACUUUAUGAUGAAAAAUAUCAGAAUAAUUUUUAUUCAAUAAUCAAUAAUUCAUAUAUAAAGAUGAACUCAAUUAUCACAUGAUUGAUUUUAAGACAUAAUUUUCAACAACUCUCACUUGGACUAAAGCCAAUCGGGGCAGUAUCUUAUACCCAUCUUUCAUUUGAAAUCAUCAAACUCUUUGAUCCCAAGAGUUUUAGUGAAGGGGUCGGCUAGAUUCUUUUUUUCAUUGAUCUUCUGAAGUCUGAUGUCACCUCGAUUCAUGAUCUCUCACACC